rnacentral:lncRNA from 1 species
UGAAUAGUCCCCCAAGAAGCCUCUGAAUAGCACUUCUGGUUACUGCAUUGGGCGCAUGGACAAGAUAUUAACCCGUUCUCUGGCUUGUUCGCUUUAACCACUUCAAGAAAAUUAUUCAUGCUAGCAAUAAACACCUUGCUCUGCCUGUCCGCGUUAUACAUCCAUUGCUGGUCCAUCUGCAUCGUAUUACGCAAGCCAUCAAUAAAAUAGAUUAUAAUAAAACUAUUCAAAAUUCAAUAUUUCCCACAUAAUGUACUUAUUCUAAAAAUGGCUAAUUGCAUACCUCUAUCUGAAAAGUACUAAAGUAUCAAAUUAUACCUACAAUUUAUAUGGCUAAUUUAUAAGUAUUAAAAACAAAUUUACUCUAAUUUUUCACUAAUACAUAAAAUUGAAAUAAUCUCAAUUCUACCUCACAUUUACUGUCCAUUCUCCCUCACAUUCAAACUAUCUAUCAUAUUGUAGCUCAAAAACAUGUAUAAAUACAAAUCCUCUUCAUGCUUAACAACAAACAAACUAAUUUUUC